AUUGAACGCUGGCGGCAUGCCUUACACAUGCAAGUCGAACGGCAGCACGGGAGCAAUCCUGGUGGCGAGUGGCGAACGGGUGAGUAAUAUAUCGGAACGUGCCCAGUAGUGGGGGAUAACUGCUCGAAAGAGCAGCUAAUACCGCAUACGACCUGAGGGUGAAAGGGGGGGAUCGCAAGACCUCCCGCUAUUGGAGCGGCCGAUAUCAGAUUAGCUAGUUGGUGGGGUAAAGGCCUACCAAGGCAACGAUCUGGAGUUGGUAUGAGAGGACGACCAGCCACACUGGGACUGAGACACGGCCCAGACUCCUACGGGAGGCAGCAGUGGGGAAUUUUGGACAAUGGGCGCAAGCCUGAUCCAGCAAUGCCGCGUGCAGGAAGAAGGCCUUCGGGUUGUAAACUGCUUUUGUCAGGGAAGAAAUCCUCUAGGUUAAUACCCUUGGGGGGAUGACGGUACCUGAAGAAUAAGCACCGGCUAACUACGUGCCAGCAGCCGCCGUAACAC
rnacentral:rRNA from 1 species